rnacentral:rRNA from 1 species
AUGAUCACUUACUUACAGAAUGAUAUCUUUUUCUUCCUCAUUCUUAUUUUGGUUUUCGUAUCACGGAUCUUGGUUCGCGCUUUAUGGCAUUUCAACGAGCAAACUAAUCCAAUCCCACAAACGAUUGAUCUCAAUGUUCUCGUCAUGACCAAUGCUCCUAACGAGGGUGACUUUCCCAUAGACCAACCUCCCGUUGGUGGACUACCAGACCUCCAGCAGGAAAUGGCGCACGCCGCUCAUCCCGAAGACAUAAUUGUGGAGUUGACUUCCAAGGUUGAAAGAAUAUUUCACGAAGUAGGCACUCACACUAAUGGUGCACCAGCACAUGGUGCGCCACUGCUAUAUAUUAGUGGCGCACCACAUGUCUGGUGCGCCAUUAGUGGCCAUUUCAUCUAUAGCCCUUUUCCUAGUAGUGAAUAG